rnacentral:lncRNA from 10 species
GCCAGGCAUGGGUUCACGUCUGUAAUCUCAGCACUCUGGGAGGCCGAGGCGGGAAGAUCACUUGAUAUCAGGAGUCGAGGCGGGAAGAUCACUUGACGUCAGGAGUUCGAGACCAGCCUGGCCAACAUGGUGAAAUGCUGUCUCUACCAAAAAUACAAAAAAUUAGCUGGGCAUGGUGGCGCGCGCCUGUAAUCCCAGCUACUCGGGAGCCUGAGGCAGGAGAAUCGCUUGAACCCAGGAGGUGGAGGUUGCAGUGAGCCGAGAUCGUGCCACUGCACUCCAGCAUGGGGGACGGAGCAAGGCUCUGUCAAAAAAAAAAAAACAGAAAAAGAAAAAGAAAAAAGAAUUAGAGACAUCUGGAUCAAAUCAGCUGCCAGUCUCGCAAAGUGUCGGGUAACAUCCUAUUAAGCUUGCUGCUUACACAUCAUCUAUAAAAUACUGAAAAUAUCAUUUUAAGAAAUCUUUUUUUUAUUUUGAGACAGAGUUUUGCUCGUUGCCCAGGCUGGAGUGCAAUGGUGCGAUCUCAGCUCACUGCAAUCUCUGCCCCCUGGGUUCAAGCAAUUCUCCUUCCUCAGCCUCCUGAGUAGCUGGGAUUACAGGCAUGCACCACCACGCCUGGCUAAUUUUGUAUUUUCAGUUGAGACAGGGUUUCUCCAUAUUGGUCAGGCUGGUCUCGAACUCCUGACCUCAGGUGAUCCACUGACCUUGGCCUCCCAAAGUGCUGGGAUUACAGGUGUGAGCCACCAUGCCUAGCCAAGAAACCCUUAUUUUAAAACAAGCCAGGCGCGGUGGCUCAUGCCUAUAAUCCCAGCACUUUGGGAAGCCAAGGCAGGUGGAUCACUUGACGUCAGUAGUUUGAGACCAGCCCGGGCAACAUGUUGUAACCCCAUCUCUACUAAAAAUAUAUUUUAAAAAUUAGCUGGGCAUGGUGGUGGGCACCUGUAAUCCCAGCUUCUCAGGAGGCUGAGGCAGGAGAACCACUUGAACCUGGGAGGUGGAGGUUGCAGUGAGCGGAGAUCAUGCCACUGCACUCUAGCCUGGGUGACAAUAGAAAGACUCCAUCUCAAAAACAAAACAAAACAAAACAAAACAAAAAACCACUAAAAAAAAGACUCCAUUUCAAAAACAAAACUAAAACCAAAAACACAACACAAAUGUAGUACACAAAUGAAAAUAAUUACUGUGUUAAACACAGUUUCAUAGAAAAUAAAAGACCAAUCAAAUACAAUAAGCUGCCUUUUUAGAUGGGUAUGUUAUUCUUCUUUCACAGCUAAAGAAACAGGCUCAGAGAAUGUUAUUUGAUUGGACCGUGUUGCAUUUCUGGACAGUGCAGCUGAGAUCAGACUUUGUGUGUAACUCCACUAGCCUACCAGGGUGCCUCUCAUAAAGGUAAGAAAUGUAAAUUUGGCCUAAUAUACAAAGUUGCCAGGGCAGCACUGGGUCAAUUCUACAUACAGUACUUCUAUGUUCAUCAAGGGAAACCUUAAGGGAAAGUGAAAAUGCUUCUAGAAGGCGACUGGACACCAGCGCCUUUGCUUGUUGCCUUUGGGCUCUUCUUCUAAGGCCAACAGUGACCUGAAAUUAUUGACUGGCUUUUCCAAUCAAGUGGACAAAAUGGUACCAAGGUCGCCAACAUCGAUGUAGAACAUCGAUGUUCUACAACAUUGCUUAACGCAAGGGGAGACGCUCCUGACUCAGAGUGUUUAAUUGCUCACCUACUUCUUUUUCUGCCCUCUUGGGCUUCUGAAAUGAAAAGAACCCUGGGGUGAUACAGUGAGUCAAAGGGGUGCCAGCCGCAUCACAGCAAAAUAGAUUCCUAAAAAAUCCCUGGCCUAAGAUGACAGCCUUGGCUGGAUCAGUUUGAAUGUGCUGAUAGUGGACAUGGUAGAAUGAAGGUGGUUGAAAUGUUCAUAUUAAAGAACUUCCACCCAGAUUGCAAGAAAAGAGAGAAGAAUGGAGACGGCAGCACAAGCCCCUACAAUAAAAGCAGAUGUUUUGAGAUCAGUUAUAUUUCUUCUGACAAAAAUUAAAGACAGAAACCAAAGUUUAGCCUGAGACUACAAUUAAUUGGGCAAUAAGCCAGAGGCACAUAUGGCAUAAGACAGAUUUAAACAUUUCUCCCUGAUAUUAAUACAAACACUAAAAUUACAAAUACAUGGAUUCCAAAUAAAACAAAUAUUUAAAAAAUUUAAUGAAUAAACACUGGGGUCUACAGUAGUAUUUGAAGGAGAUCUCACAAACAGGUUUGGUUUUUGAAGGUUAGAACUGGUGGUCUAGAGAAUUCAUUUCAUUCCAGAGAAAGAAAGAGAGGAAUUUCUUGGGUUCCUUCAGGAAUGCGUCUAGCUUUGCCUCAUCUUUGUUUGAACUAUGGAUACGGCAGAAGAAAACAUAAGGAUUUCACAGAUUUAAGUUGCAAAAAGUCACUGGGUUCUCUAAGAAGUCUGGGAUUCUUCUGCUGGAAAAAUAAGUUUGUUGAGAAAAAAUGAGUUGGAGGAGGCUGUUAUUGAAGUGAAGCAGAAUUGUUUUUACUAAUCUGCUUAUUACCCACUCUGUAGUGUGGAAACAAAUUAUUCAUGCACAAGGUCCUCUUACUGUUCCUAGAAUGCAGUGGAAAGAGAACAGAUUAGUUUUCCUCCCUCAGAACACAACCCCUAGAAACAUCCUACCUCAGAUGAGAUAUUGCCUAAUUAUUUUCAAAAGACAGUGAAACAUCAUGGAUGUAAAUGUUUGCUACAAAAUAAAUACAUGCUAGAAACAGAAGCAUCUGGGUCACAGCUAUAUUAGAGCUACCUGUGUUCCCCUGUCACUGACAUUAAAACAAAAAUGUCCAAUACAAUCAUUCACAGCGUGGGAGAGGGGAAGUUGAAGGAUGGAAAGGCCAGGCAUAAAAGGAUUUCAGAAUUUCCGUCCAUAAGGAAGUGGCUUUGUGCACUGUCUGUUACUGCGUGCAAGGUGAAAUUUGAAGAAUGAAAACGUGCAGUAACAAGGGCUCCUUUGUCCAACUCACCUCUCCAGAUACCAAGUUUCAG